UUUCAGCUUCUUUUGGUGUAAAUUUCAGCAAGACAAAUUGGGAUUCCUCUUCUUCAGAAAAAAUAUUCGAAUAGAAUAGCAUUUGUCCUCGACGAAGAGAGGCUUACUUCAAAGAAUUUUGACUGGUGAAACUCCGAGGUUUGACUCAUGAGAUCUCAUAACUCUAUGGACACAACUGAAGACCGUCUAAAACAUAAGGCAUCUAUUUCUGGAGAUAUUCACAGGAAAAUAAGAAGCCUCCCUUUCUGUGAGUAGUGUAGUGUGUAGAUGUACUUAGGAAAAGUACUCUCGGAUAUGCUUUGGAGAAGAAAAAAGAUCGAAUAGAAGAAACACAUCUCAGCUAGAUGUCUUGAAGAUGGAGGUAGUCCUCAAAAGAUUCAUGGGCCAUUGUUCAAUCUCUAGCAGUUAAGGCCUGGGCUCUUCUGAAGAUCUGAGUCCAUGAUCCAAACAUGACUGAACCAGGAUCCGAUUUGACAUAUCUUUGUAUGAAGAAGCAAACUGAUUCGUAUUUACUUACAUACGGGAAAGUGCAGGAAAACUUUUAUGCAGCCAGGCCUUCGACGGGAUUUGACCUGUGGUUCAAAAUACCAAAGUUAAAUGAUUUUACCGCUCGACCGCUAAUGGGCCUGGGACUAUUCGGCAUUGAAAAAAAACUGUUCAGUUACAGCAAAACAUUUGUAAUAAAAAUGAGAAAACAUUUUUAUUGGUGUUUGGACGUCAUGUAUAUUUUUCAUUUUCCAUUGUUAUUAUGAAUUGGCCAGCGGUUCUCAUAACUGCCUUCUUUAGCACCGUCCCUCCCGCUUUCUAGCGAUCUCUUUACUGAUACACUUCUCGGCUUAGAGGAUCAAUAGGCGCUUUCAGGACUUACCCCCACAAGACUGCAAACUUGAAACUUUGUUUGAGUUUUUAAAUGAAGUGUAUUUUUCCCACAUUUGAGAUUCUUGUACAAGUCGAUGCAUUAAAUUAUAACUUUUGUGCAAUUCAAUAAUAUGAGACUAAAAAAUCAAUUUUAAGGAUCUAGAUAAAUAAGUGCGGUUUGACUGUGGGCCUCAGUCUUGGUUAAGAUUUGAAAACAGUAUAUGGAUUCCGCGAAAACAAUAUUUAAACACUAUGAGACUAAGUCCUAGGGUUAAUGAUUGUUUCUAGCAGUGCUAGUGUUGAGUGGAUUUUUUUUUAUCAUUUUAAAAUCUAAAUUUCCUAAUAGUUUGAGCGCAUGUACAAUGAAUGAUCGGAAAUUGGCUUUUGUGUAUCAGUAUUGUCCAAAACAUAAAAAUUCAUUAAAAAAAACAAGCUUGAGCUUUUAUUAGAUUGCAUAUGCUUACCAUCACAUAUUUUCCAGAGGCAAAGAUCAUUUACGAAGAUUGUUUCCUAUUUGAUAAGAUAUCUUCUCUUUACAAAGAAAGAAAAAUGGUAUAGUAGAUAUAAAUUGGAAAUUAGGUAAAAACUGAAUUGCAUUAAUUCAAAUUUUUGUCAUCCGUGGUAUGCAAUGAUUAUAGAUAAUAAUCAUAGCUUCAAAUGUAUUCAUGACAUGUGCGAGUAUUAGCGUAUUCAUCCUAUUUUGAACGUUUCUAAUAAUGGAAACACUAGAAAAAAAUCAUGUAUGUUCAUCAUUAU
rnacentral:lncRNA from 1 species